UAGUGAUUAUUUAUCAAUUAUCAGGCGUUUUAAUUUGCCGCGAACGCUAUCAAAAUACUCGAUUUUUAUUUACUCAAACUGAAACGGAGCCAUUGUGUUCGCACUGAUUAUAUUGUGUGCCAAGCUUCAAAACUACAGCACAUUUUGUAAAUAACAUGAUAUAUAAAUAUCAAACAAAAUUUGAAUUAUAAAUAGUAUUUAUACAUACUAUUGAAAUUUAAUACAACGAAAUAGCAACCAUUGUGAAGUACGCAUAAGAUUCAGCAUGACGUUCAACAUGACAUUCGAUGUAGUGUAUAUGAACUCAUUUCAAUCACUCAAACGUCAAAAUGAUAAAUAAUCAUUUUCAAUCUAUUAUAGUAAUUCACCGUUUCCACGGGUUUUUUAUACCUUUAAAAAGCUACAAUAAAGCUAAGUCUAAACAAACUAACGUUAUUUAGUUAUACAUUUGUGAAGGAAUUCUAACAGUCAAUUGCUUUCUAUAAAACCUUGACCGGCGUGACUUUGCUAAUGUUAUUACCGUCGCUUGCCACUAACUAUUAACGGUCGCUUAUAAAAACAUUGCCUAUUUGUGUGUUUCUGCUGGGGUCUACACCGUAGGCUAAUUUGCGUGAGAAUCUUAAGUUUUCUUAUUUUGACAUAAGGGACCGGUCAUUAAGUAUUUACUAGGGGGUGUGGAGGAUAUUUUUGGAGGGCACGAAAAAAACACAGAACCUCUGAGGGGGGUACCAAAAUCUUAAUACUAUGGGUACGGAAAAAAUUACAUUUUAUAAUUAUUGUUGAAUAUUGAAUGUAUUUAUGCCCAAAUUUAAGUUUGGAAAAAAUUGUUUUACUAAUGUCAGAUGACAAGUAGGAUUCAGUGUCCGUGGAACGUUUGGAGUACAAAUCUGAUACAUCUGAAUUGUCAAUGCUAGCAAGCUCGCACAAUUAGAACGACGAGGAAGUGUCACAUUGAGUGGAGGCAAAUUGGUUCGGUUUGAAAUAAAUCCAAUCUCGUUCCCAGAGCUGAACGAUGGCUCUGAGUACGAAAUUGAAAUUUUUUUCUGUUUUUUCUUACUCUCAACCCAUCGCUAGUAUGUCAGAAUCAGAAACAUAAGAGACUGGUGACGAAUCGGAGACUGCGGAAAAUGUUGAGUGAAG